AAGCAGCCGCCGGAUGAACGGAUACCAUUGAUGUUGAUAAUUAUGAGGGCCACCUCGCUGCUUU
rnacentral:tRNA from 1 species